UGCCACCUUUUUUAUUUUUAUAUUUUAUUUUUAAUAUGUUAAUCGAUUAGCAAGAAGACAACUAGAAUCUUAAUAUCUUGAUGGAUAUAGCCUACCAUUGUUGGACAAGAAUAUAUAUAUAUAUAUAUAUAUAUAUAUGAAGAAUAGCUUCUUUAAAUGGUCGACAAGGAAAUAUCCUAUCAUGUGCCCUUGGAUGGUAUAAGACAUAGACAGAAAACACAUAGAGACCCACCGGGAUGUGUGCUAGUGAAAGUGUACAUUAAAGACAGGAAUGCUUGCUGGUCUUGUUUUUUGCUUUUUUGGCUUUCAAGUAAAAGCAGACCAGGAUGUUGAAUAUUCAGAUAUAUAUAUAUAUAUAUAUAUAUAGACAUGGUUACAUGCGUGUUCAAACACCGAUUUCGCCGUCCGUCCGUCAGUUGAUUCACGCCAGGUGUGAAUCAGGAGGCAGAGAUUCUUAUGCUCAGAGCUUUUUGAUUCUUCCAUAUCUGAGUUGGUGGUUACACAAAAGUAUGUGAAGAAAACCUCAAGAUUUGACAGGGUAUCAAAAUGCAAAGCUAUUUAACAUGCUAGAGGCCUUUCUACUUGUUAAUCAUUCAGUGACUGCUAAAGCCUAUCUAUUCAGCAAUAUUUCCAUUCCUAGAAAUAUGUCGGUUUUCCAAUGGAAACAGUUAUUAUUUCUUUAUUCAUUGUGGAUGAAUGAAAGGCUUCCCACA